ensembl:rRNA 5S_rRNA 5S ribosomal RNA
GUCUGUGGCCAUACCACCCUGAACAGACCUGAUCUCGUCUGAUCUUGGAAGCUAAGCAGGGUUGGGCCUGGUUAGUACUUGAAUGGGAGACCACAUGCGAAUACCUGGUGCUGUAGGUU